GUUACUGUGUCACUAUACCCCACUCCCUCUAACAUGUAAACUCACUGAGCAGGCCCUCAAUCCCUCUGUUACUGUGUCACUAUACCCCACUCCCUCUAACAUGUAAAUUCACUGAGCAGGGCCCUCAAUCCCUCUGUUACUGUGUCACUAUACCCCACUCCCUCUAACAUGUAAACUCACUGAGCAGGGCCCUCAAUCCCUCUGUUACUGUGUCACUAUACCCCACUCCCUCUAACAUGUAAGCUCACUGAGCAGGGCCCUCAAUCCCUCUGUUACUGUGUCACUAUACCCCACUCCCUCUAACAUGUAAGCUCACUGAGCAGGGCCCUCAAUCCCUCUGUUACUGUGUCACUAUACCC